UACGUAGGGCGCAAGCGUUGUCCGGAAUUAUUGGGCGUAAAGAGCUCGUAGGCGGCUUGUCACGUCGGGUGUGAAAGCCCCGGGGCUUAACCCCGGGGUCUGCAUUCGAUACGGGCAGGCUAGAGUGUGGUAGGGGAGAUCGGAAUUCCUGGUGUAGCGGUGAAAUGCGCAGAUAUCAGGAGGAACACCGGUGGCGAAGGCGGAUCUCUGGGCCAUUACUGACGCUGAGGAGCGAAAGCGUGGGGGAGCGAACAGG
rnacentral:rRNA from 1 species